GUCCUCGUAGUUCAACGGAUAGAACAGUCCCGUCCUAAGGGAUAGAUGUAGGUUCAAUUCCUGCCGGGGGCACCA
rnacentral:tRNA from 2 species